GGAGAGGUGUCUGAGUGGACGAAAGAGAUGGUCUUGAAAACCAUUAAGGACGCAAGUUCUUCGUGAGUUCGAAUCUCACCCUCUCCGCCA
rnacentral:tRNA from 2 species